GUAGGUGGCAAGCGUUGUCCGGAAUUAUUGGGCGUAAAGCGCGCGCAGGCGGUUCUUUAAGUCUGAUGUGAAAGCCCACGGCUCAACCGUGGAGGGUCAUUGGAAACUGGAUAACUUGAGUACAGAAGAGGAAAGCGGAAUUCCACGUGUAGCGGUGAAAUGCGUAGAGAUGUGGAGGAACACCAGUGGCGAAGGCGGCUUUCUGGUCUGUAACUGACGCUGAGGCGCGAAAGCGUGGGGAGCAAACAGGGAUUAGAUACCCUGGUAGUCCACGCCGUAAACGAUGAGUGCUAAGUGUUAGGGGGGUUUCCGCCCCCUUAGUGCUGCAGCUAACGCAUUAAGCACUCCGCCUGGGGAGUACGGCCGCAAGGCUG
rnacentral:rRNA from 1 species